UUUGUUCGUGUCCCCAAGGGAAUUUGCCAAUCCGCUCCGCCUGCGCGUCAAAACCCUAGCCGCCAGCCCUGCGCCCACUCCGCCUCGUUCUCCUCCCCGCUCGCUCCAUCCUCUCCCAUGUCGCCGCCCCUCUUCUCCUGUCUCGCCUCGGCCGCCUCCUCUCCUCCCCGCGUCGCCGGCCCCCUCCCUCCUUCGUCCUCACAGCCGACCAUCUCCGUCACUUGGGCCCCAUGGCAACGGCCGGGUCUUCCGGUCGGGAUUUAGACGAGGAAAAGGAAAAAUCGAGCGUCUCGAUGGUGCCAUGACUGAUGCACGGCGACGGCUAGCGUCUGUGAGCGCCACACAUGGUGCAGCAGGCUCGGCGGGCAGUGGGCGUGGCAGGCUCGGCAGGCAGCGGGCGCGGUGGUCAAGGCCAGGGGCGCGGAUUGGGGGAGAUGCGCACACGAGGAGCGACGGCGACCGCAUCUGCCGCCAACACCGAGGCCAUACUGCCAGUACAUUCCAAGUGGAAUGGAGUACCCAGUUUUGUCCAGAAAGUUGAGGCCUUCCGGUGGUUCUUUUGCAAUGAGGGUUUCAAUGCUAACCAUAUUGCAUUUCCAUUUUCAGGGUGUCCUUUUACUGGGUACCCACCCUCCAGUGUAUAUAUUUGCAUGAUGAUGUAAUGUUAGACCAACUUUCUAGUUUAAAUAAAACUUUGUAGAAAAUCAAAUAAGAGGAUGGCAUUAUUUCGGCCUUGAUUUGGGCCAAAUCGGGGAAGCCCUUCUCUUAUUUGAUUCUCUUGCAGCACUCGGCUGGUUCCAAGACCGUGAGGGGAAGGACUUCUUGUUGUCUGCCGGAGAGGAAAGAGCAGAGGAUCCGAGAGGUGAAGCAACCGGAGGAGCCGGAGAACACGACCCCUGUCCUAUGUACCGGCCAUAUCCCCCACGGCUUCUACAAGGACCAGAUGCAAGGUUUCUUUCAGGAGCUUGGGGCUAUUAAGAAGAGGGUCAGUAUUGCCCGGAACCACAAGGUAUUUUAUACUGCGUUACAAGAUAUCUGGUAAUUUAUGUGUUUUCUGCAAGCAUCUAACUUGUUAUUUUGUGAUAUAUAUGUAGACAGGAAAGUCUAAGCAUUCCGAUAGGUAGAAAUACAUAUAUUUCAGUUGCAACAAAACUGUACAUAAUGAUGAAUGAAUAUUAACUAUGUCAUUCACACAAACAAAAAAGUAUUGCAGUUAGAGUCAAUAUCCAAUUAUCAGUUCAUGAAGUGAGACAGAUAAAAAAACUGUUUUUAAACGCGAACAAACAGAUAGAAUCUCGCAUAGCUGCGACACCUUCGCCUUAUUGUUGUUACCUAUUUUGCAUCCUUUCUCAUUAUGCCCCUUAAUUCUCUUUAUCCUACCCCUAGAUCAAAUAUCAUUUGGCGGGUGGAUGUUAACUUCAUUAGUAAUGGUGCAGCCAAGAAAUUCUUCAGACUCUUGUAGUACAGUUUGUUGUUUCGCUGGGACAUUCAGUUUGUUGCUUCUGACUGUUUAGCUUGAAUUUGCAUAUUGAGGAUAUAACAUCUCCCCUUCUGAUUCCAUCUCUAAUAAAGAACCUACUCGAUAGAAGAAAAUCGAGGGAAGAAGUAUGCCAGUUCCGUGAUGACUAAUUGAUGAAAAUCACAUUUGAGUGGCCCAGUCGUUUGAUCUACUCCAUUACCUCAGAUUGAGUAACCUAUACCAACGUCUAUUGCAAACCUGCUAGACAGGAUAAAAUCGAGGAAUAAGUAUAUAAACUCGUGGGUUAAUCAAGGUGAAUAGAUUAUUUACCUACCUGGAAUCAGCACUGAAUCAGUUUUUUACCUUUCUUUUCUAGGAAGAUAAGAACAAUAUCCAAUUGGAUCCUCUUCUUUUGUACUAGCUUCCGAGGAGCCAAAAUUAGUACACAACAAUGUAUUUUCAGUUUCAUAGAUUCGGUCAUGAUGACAUCGUACCGCAUGCAAGGGUGCUUAUGCAACUAUAAGUCUAACUACAGAAAUAUACCUUUCUUUGCCUACUUUUGGGUGUGAAUAGCUCAGCUAAUUUUGGGAGAUUCAGAAUACAGUAUCCAGAUUUAUUAGCUCUAUUUGUACGCUUCUGAAUUUUUGAUGUGUAAAAAUGUUCCUCAAAAGAUAUGAGUUGUUGAGCAUCCUGCUUCGUAGUAGGCUUGGUAAUAUUCCAUUUUUUUAAUUACCCCGCUUUAGAUUAUUCUUGUGUGCCUUGUGCAGCCUUUUCAUUCUAGGCAUCAUUUCCCAUUUGUUUGGGAUCCAAUUCUAAAAAUGCUUGGCAGCAUUGGUUUGGCCUUCUAUUAAUCUCCAGAUGAUAGGUGAGGCAGGCAAGUUCAUUCUUUGGUUUCUUAUGAUACUUCUAAAACCUACUGCCUAUUAGGAAACAUAACUGAAAUGUGUGCACACUGAUACUUUCGGUUGUUGUGGAGUUAAAUCCUAAAUCGAUUUGAUGCGUUGGAUAUAAAAAAUAGCUUUCAGGCAAACAGACUAUUCUUUAUUUUAGUACUUAAUAGUAUAGCUAAUUAGCUAUAUGCAGUGAGUGCAGAAGCUAUUUGUUCGCCACUUAAGCUUAUAUUCUUCUAUUUUCUUUAGCUGUCAUCCUUUUAUAUUUUCUUUACGCAAUGGUUGGUUGAUCAAGCUGAGGACUUCUCUGUAGUGUUUGGUUUGUGUGCUGUUGUGUUAGUUCGUUUGUUGAUCGUCUCAUCUUUGUCAUGUUCCCCUUAUUUGGGUGGUCUACCUUUGCCUAUGAAUGUACGUAUAUUAUUGUCAUGUUCCCCUUAUCCCCGCAUCACUGAACAAUGCUGGAAAACUAUUGUCCCUUUGCCCUAUGUAAUGGUGUUACAGACUGCCAUUUGUUUUGUCGAGCUUACUAACUGAUUUCUUUUUACAUUACCAUGAAUAUGCUUUCGGCAUGCCUCUUCUCUGUUUUUGUGGCCCUUUGCCAGCCUCUUCAUUUUCUGAUUAUACUCAUGUUUUCUUGUAUGUAGAUGUGAUUAUAAAUGUCAUUAAGAAUGAGUAGAUCCGACUUGGGGAGGGCAUGGUUGAUGUAUGCAACCAUGGGAGUGUCAGCUUAGUCUGGUCCUCAUCGACCAAAGGCUCCCAGGCUUGGCCAUCGCCAGAGUUAUGUGAAACAAGGUUUUUUAGGGAACUCUUUUGAAAGGCAUGAGUGUACAGAACACAUGUUUCAUCGUCUUCUCUUUUUUUCAUGAGUUGUUGAACAGAUCUUAUGAAGCUUGAUUGAUAGUGUUUCAACUCAGAUGAAGUGUUCUGGAGGAUCAGUUUUGCAGAUCUUGGAGAUCAUUAUACGUCCUGUACAAUGCACUGUUCGGGAGUGUUGCAUGCCUUUGUAUUGUGUUCCUGAACCUCGCUAAGUUUCUCCAUGUCCAAGUCUUCUGUUCUAAGAACUCUUUUGUUGCAUCCACAUUAAUCAUACGUAUUUACAUUUC